rnacentral:rRNA from 1 species
UACGGAGGAUGCGAGCGUUAUCCGGAUUUAUUGGGUUUAAAGGGUGCGUAGGCGGACUGUUAAGUCAGCGGUAAAAGCCCGGGGCUCAACCCCGGCGAGCCGUUGAAACUGGCUGUCUUGAGAUGUCGAGAGGUAUGCGGAAUGCGCGGUGUAGCGGUGAAAUGCUUAGAUAUUGCGCAGAACUCCGAUUGCGAAGGCAGCAUACCGGCGGCGAUCUGACGCUGAGGCACGAAAGCGUGGGUAUCGAACAGG